rnacentral:hammerhead_ribozyme from 1 species
GCACUACUGAAGAGUCUCCUACUAGGACGAAACAGCUGUCCAGUGC